AUUGAACGCUGGCGGCAUGCCUUACACAUGCAAGUCGAACGGCAGCAUGGGUGCUUGCACCUGAUGGCGAGUGGCGAACGGGUGAGUAAUGUAUCGGAACAUGCCCUGCAGUGGGGGAUAACGUAGCGAAAGUUACGCUAAUACCGCAUAUUCUGUGAGCAGGCAAGCAGGGGAUCGCAAGACCUUGCGCUUUAGGAGUGGCCGAUAUCGGAUUAGCUAGUUGGUGGGGUAAAGGCCUACCAAGGCGACGAUCCGUAGCGGGUCUGAGAGGAUGAUCCGCCACACUGGGACUGAGACACGGCCCAGACUCCUACGGGAGGCAGCAGUGGGGAAUUUUGGACAAUGGGCGCAAGCCUGAUCCAGCCAUGCCGCGUGAGUGAAGAAGGCCUUCGGGUUGUAAAGCUCUUUCGGCUGGGAAGAAAUUGCACUCUCUAAUACAGGGUGUGGAUGACGGUACCAGCAUAAGAAGCACCGGCUAACUACGUGCCAGCCGCCGCGGUAACAC
rnacentral:rRNA from 1 species